GUUGCAGUUAAAAAGCUCGUAGUUGGAUUUCUGCGGGGGCGGGGCGGCCGACCUCAACUCGAGGUUCGAGCUAGCACUUCCCCUGCAUCCUGCCGCGAACCGUGCUACCAUUAGUUUGGUGGCGCUGGGGAUCGGCUCGUUUACUUUGAGAAAAAUAGAGUGUUCAAAGCAGGCCACACGCCUUGAAUAAGUUAGCAUGGAAUAAUGAUAAAGGACUUCGGUUCUAUUUUGUUGGUGUUCGGGACUGAAGUAAUGAUUGAUAGGGACAGUUGGGGCGGUCAGUAUUCCAAAGCGAGAGGUGAAAUUCUUAGACCUUCGGAAGACUAACAGCUGCGAAAGCGUUCCGCAAGGAUGUUCCCUUUGAUCAAGAACGAAAGUUGGGGGAUCGAAGACGAUCAGAUACCGUCGUAGUCUCAACUAUAAACUAUACCAGCUAGGGAUCGGCCAACGUUUACUUAUAUCGACUUGGUCGGCACCUUAUGAG
rnacentral:rRNA from 1 species